GAACGCUCGUAGCAAUACGGGAGUGGCAGACGGGUGAGUAACGCGUGGGAACCUUCCCAGUGGUACGGAAUAGCUCAGGGAAACUUGGGGUAAUACCGUAUAAGCCCUUAGGGGGAAAGAUUUAUCGCCAUUGGAUGGGCCCGCGUCGGAUUAGCUAGUUGGUGGGGUAACGGCCUACCAAGGCGACGAUCCGUAGCUGGUCUGAGAGGAUGAUCAGCCACACUGGGACUGAGACACGGCCCAGACUCCUACGGGAGGCAGCAGUGGGGAAUAUUGGACAAUGGGCGCAAGCCUGAUCCAGCCAUGCCGCGUGAGUGACGAAGGCCUUAGGGUUGUAAAGCUCUUUUGGCGGGGAAGACAAUGACGGUACCCGCAGAAUAAGCUCCGGCUAACUUCGUG
rnacentral:rRNA from 1 species